rnacentral:rRNA from 1 species
CGCAAAGGUACACUUAUCGCGAAUGGAAAUCGCGUUUAAAGGGUAAUACUAUAUGUGUGCUUGAUUGUGAGACGAACAAGUCGACCAAGUAAGAAAUUAGGCUAUAGU